CGGGAAGAGCUCAAAUUUAAAAUCUGGCAGUCUUUUUGGCUGUCCGAGUUGUAAUUUAGAGAAGUGUUGCCCGCGCUGGACCAUAUACAAGUCCUCUGGAAUGGGGUGUCAUAGAGGGUGAGAAUCCCGUCU
rnacentral:rRNA from 1 species